UGGCUCCAAAACAAUGCCUUCUUCCCCAGACCACUGUGCAUGUUUGUUUCUUUCCUAUUUUCUUCAUUGUUCUGGCAGGACAUUUGGCCUCUCGUUUAUCUCACCCAUGCCUCCCACUAUGAACCUAUGAAAUACUGCAAAAAUUGUGCGAAAAAAACAGCUCGAGCAUCUAGACCAAAGUGUAAAACUAUGGUGAAGGGUUUAGAUUAAUCGUAAAAAACCAAUGGUCAUGAUCAUGCUACCAAGAAAAGUUCCAAAACCUUCAUAAUUUCCUAUAAAUAGAGAGCAGAGCAAGAAACAAAGGCACCCCGAGCCAAAGACAGAAAAUAUCAUGAGAGAAAGAAUUGAAAGAGAAGAAACAAAAGUGUUUUGAGAUAAAAACGAAGGUGUUUUGAGCCAGUAGAUCGAAGAGGAAGAAAAAUUAGAGAGACAUAAAAAAUUGAAACCUAGAGAGAGAGAGAGAGAAGUGACCAAAACCACCCUCAACCCGCGGCUCAACCGUCAUCUCUGCUACUAUUAGCCACCACUACAGCUCCUCCUUUCUUUGGAACCAACUUUAAGCGGAAGACAAGCAACUACACUGACAAAGUUGUGCGAAUCAAGGAAAUAACUACGUAACGUGCUCGAGGCAAGAAAAUCUGGCGGAGAUUUUGCCUUGGGAAGAUUUUGGGAAUAAUGAUCGCAACAUUAUGAGUCGAGAUAUGAAUGACUGAAAGGCAAGCAUUUUGUUGGCAUGAUUCCAAUUAAGAGCACAGCAUGCUGCCCCCAUUCCUUUUAAUAAACGUCCACAUGGCCUGCCACAUGACCACUCGCGGCAGUGACAGGGUCCCUUGCUACUUUGUUAAUGCUUUUGUAUUGUAUUUGAAAAUAUAAUUUUCUAUAUUCUGGACUAAAAACAAUAUUUUUUUUAUAAUCUUGAUAUGAAAAUAUCAAAAUCAUUGAAAGAUUAUAUAUAUAUAUAAAAAGCAUCUUAUACUUUAUAUUAUUUCAAUCUAAAUGUAAUUUGAUGAGAAUAUAUACAUGCUCAACAAGCUCUCCUUCGGAUCUACAA